UAUGUUACCCAGGCUGGUCUGAAACUCCUGGACUCAAGAGAUCCUCCUGCCUUGGUCACCCAAAGUGCUGGGAUUACAGGCAUGAGGCACUACACCCAGAUCUUGUCCUUAUUUCCUGUAUCCCAGGCAAUUUGCCAAACAAGGGAUGAGGGUGAGCAAAGGAAUAUCAAACACAUGCCUUGCUCUGAAAAGCUCAUGGUCCAAAAGGGAUGAAAAAGUGUGUUUUUCCAGUUCAAGCCAGCCCGUUCCAGGGCCUUUUCUGCAGCAAACAUGCCACGUGCACCCACAGAUCUCGGUAGAGGAGACUCCAAUUCCCCAGACUCACUGGCCUGUACCAAGCACUGGCCCCUUGCAGACAUUCCCAGGAUGGCUGCCCUCUAGGCUCACAGCCACUGUGCUGUCCAGCUUACAGCAGAGAUGACACAUUUGGGUUGGGCUUCCCCACCAUGGGGCCUUAAUUUCAUCAUUUGUAAAGCGAGGAUUGCUUGGUUGUGUUAGGACUUGAGAUCCUGGAUGUGAACUGCCCCCACGGGCCGGGCACCUGAAUGUGUUCUGUGAAUGGGGGCAGGACUGCUACAGGUGGUAGCUGUAGCUGGUGUGACUGCCCAGAAUGGCACCCAGCACACAGCUGGCACUCAAACGUUAGCAGCAAUAGUGCCCACAGCGCACUCUGGGGUCCAGAAGGGAGGGGCAAAGUUGGCUUCUGUCUCUUGGAGCUGUAGGAUCAGAGGUGGGCUCAGGCGUGGGGUCCUUGCUUGCCCUAGGGUGUGUGGUCAAGUCUGCAGAGGUCUCUAGGUGGGAGGCUUCCUGCACCCUGCUUCAGGCUCCAGUGGAGAAGGCUGGGAGACAGACAGGGCUCCAACCACCAUUUCAACUGCACGCCUUCCUCUGGCUCAGCCCACCUUAGGGCCCAGCUGAAUGUGGCCGUGGUAUCCUCUCGAAGGAGGAAGGGGUGCAGUUGAAAUGGUGGUUGGCACGUAUGUGUCCCUUUUCCUGUCUUUAUGCCCCAGAAAUCCCCACCCUCAUUUCUUUAAUGGCUUUCUGUGGCCAGCCACAUCAAGAGGGGUCCACAGAGGCCUCACCCUGGCUAUAGCUCUUGAAUUGGGUUUUCACCUCACAGAGAGUGGGCCCCAUGUGGGCAGGACUGGUCCCACAAGAUUUCCUCAGAGCAGGCAGGUCCCCAAAACGAGAAGACGUAUGCUUCAAGGGCACAAUGCAGGUACAGCUCUAGAAUUCUCCAUUCUAGAACCUGCCCCUCCUCUCCCCAAGCUAGCCCUCCCCCUGCCCAGUCCAGGGCUGUGCCAGCCCCCGCCCUGAGCUCACAGCCCCAUCACUCCCUGCCUCUGCCGCAGUCCCAGCAAGUCUUCAGAAGCGUGGCUGCUGCCUCAAGAAGGACGCAGUUCCCACCCAGCGCCCCCCACCUCCCUGGCCCCUGCCCUCUGACACAAGUCAGGCCUCAGUCGUGCCCCCCAAGACUGGUGAAACUGGACCACUACACCCCCUCCCAUGCACUGCCCUCCGUGAAGGGCAGCAGCAGGCAGAAGCUGGAUCAGAGAACCUUCACAGAGCAGAUACAUGAGGGCAAGGACAAUGGCUACCUGUUCCCCAAAGUGUACUUGGCUGAUGCCACCCACGAGUGCAUGCACCACAACCCCAAGCUGUCCUCCAAUCUGCAGGGCAAGCGCCACACCAUGGUAAGGCAGGCUUACCUCCCUCCCCAAGGGGCUCCAGUGCCCCCCAGCCUGGCCAGCAGGCCCCUCUGUGUCCCAAACCCACUCAGGCACCAUCCAGCUGCUCCAGCUUCCUCCGUCUGAGACUCUCCCCAGUCCCAUUUCCUCCCCAGAGGCCUCUCUGGGGCUCCUGCAGGCUGACCAUCCCCUGUUCCCAAACCCCUUGAACACAGAGUACUUGGCACAGGAGGGAGUGGGGAGGUCAUCGCUGCCCUCCAAGGGCACUGCUCACCCAGCGUCCCCCCCUGAGGAUUCCAGCAAAGUGUAUAAAGGACAGGGGCCUGCCUUACCACAGCCAGCCCCUCAGGGGCCAAGUCUCACACAGCAAGUGCCAUCCACCCUACAGAUAGCUGUCACGAUCGUCUCCACAACCGAGGCCCCGGUGGAGUUUUCCCGCGAGCUCCUGCCCCGUGAGAUCUCUAGCACUCAACACUACCUACAAGCACCUGAACGUGGUGGGCAGAGGCCUGGACACAGCCUGUCCCCACCCUCCCCUUCCCCAAGGGUAGCUCUCCCCAGCCAGCUGCCUGCCCCAGGCCUAUUGCCCCCUCCCCCCACCUUGGACCUCCCUUUCGCCCCAGGGCUGGAGCCCAACCCCAUCCUGGAACCUGGAUCUGGUACCCUUGACAGUUCCAGCACACCCUUGGCCCUGCCUCAGGGUGAUGGCAGGUGUGUGGGCUGCAGGUGCAGCUGUAUGAGACCUAUCAGAGCAGCCAGCUUGUGCCGGAGCUGGUGGCCCAGGGCGACCUGCUGGAGCACAUCAACGCUGCGUUGGACCACCUCUGCCACCCAGGGCUGGAGGAGAAGGAAGUCCUUGGACUGUUCUGGCAGCUGGGACCUGAAGGGCGAGAACAUCCUGCUGGAUGACCAUGGCCUUCUCAAGCUGACCGAUUUUGACUUUGCCGACUGCAUGGGGCCCAGGAACUCACUGCUCAGCACUUUCUGUGACUCCUCAGUCUACACAGCCCGAGAUCCUCGUGAGCAGCAAGUAUAGCAGGGAGCAGGCCAACCUGUGGAGCCUGUGAGUGCCUCCCAGGGAGCCCUGACCCCAGGCAAUGGGGCAACCUGUGGAGUCUGAGUGCCCCCAGGGCACCCCAACCCUGUGGCCAGGGCCCACAGGAGGGCUGGGGAGAGGCCACACCUGUAGGAGCUCAUGUCCCCAGAGGUGUCAUCCUCUAUGCCAUGGUGAGUAAGAAGCUGCCCUUCAAGGAGCCCCAGCCCCACUGCAUGCUGUACCUCAUGCACUGCAGUCCCACCUUCUGGCCAGGUCUGUUCCCAGGUAAGCACCACCCCAUGACUUCCCCACACCUAGCUCAGGCCUAGAGAGCGGCAGUGAGGAAGACGUGGACUCCCAGGAGGGUAGUCCUGCGUGGUGGAAGAGACCGAACCUGGCAUCCUCCCCGCUUAGGCUGGGAAGCAUUUGGUCCGUGCACGGCAGUGACAAGUUCUGGGGAAGCUGGAUUGGUGGAGGACCUGACUCCAAAUGCAGUUCAGGAAAGGCUGUGGCUGCGAACCUGAGCUCUGCACUAGCCCAGGGCACACUGCCUUGCCCCUCUAUGCCUCAGUCUCCCCACUGGCGACAGAACUGACCCCUCUAAGCUGCUGGCACCAUUGGCAGUGACGUGCAUGGGGUGAAGGUGGGUGCUGGAGUGGUGAGAGGCUGCAGCUGUGAGCCCUCGCCCACAGUGCCAGGACCUGAUUUGGGGGCUGCUGCAGCUGCGUCCAAACACAUGCCUGGGCCUGCAGCAAACACGCUCUUCCUCAGUGCUGUGCCAGGUGUGGUGUGGCCCUCUGGGUGAGCAACUGAGCAGCACGUGGUCCCUCUGCACUCCACCUGACCCCACUGUGGUCCCUUGCAGAGAAGCAGGUGCAGUCCCAAUUCCCAGCAUCCAUGGAUGACCUGGAGCCUGGUACAGACUUAGAGCGCCAAUGGCCAGUGCUGUAGCUGCAUUGCCCCCAUCAGCAGGGCAUCUCCAAGGAGAACGCGGGCCCUGAGCUCAGGCCUCCGGAAGCACACCCCAGAAGAGGGGUGGGUUCUGCCCAGCUGGUGCUCUGGAGCACUGUGGCAGCCAGCCUAGGAGUGAGCGCCUCCAGCAGGCGUU